rnacentral:rRNA from 1 species
GAUGAACGCUAGCUACAGGCUUAACACAUGCAAGUCGAGGGGCAGCAUGGUCUUAGCUUGCUAAGGCCGAUGGCGACCGGCGCACGGGUGAGUAACACGUAUCCAACCUGCCGUCUACUCUUGGACAGCCUUCUGAAAGGAAGAUUAAUACAAGAUGGCAUCAUGAGUCCGCAUGUUCACAUGAUUAAAGGUAUUCCGGUAGACGAUGGGGAUGCGUUCCAUUAGAUAGUAGGCGGGGUAACGGCCCACCUAGUCUUCGAUGGAUAGGGGUUCUGAGAGGAAGGACCCCCACAUUGGAACUGAGACACGGUCCAAACUCCUACGGGAGGCAGCAGUGAGGAAUAUUGGUCAAUGGGCGCAGGCCUGAACCAGCCAAGUAGCGUGAAGGAUGACUGCCCUAUGGGUUGUAAACUUCUUUUAUAAAGGAAUAAAGUCGGGUAUGUAUACCCGUUUGCAUGUACUUUAUGAAUAAGGAUCGGCUAACUCCGUG